GUUUAUGGCCAUACCACCCUGAAGGUGCCCGAUCUUGUCUGAUCUCAGAAGCUAAGCAGGCCUGCUUAGUACUUGGAUGGGAGACCGACCGCCUGGGAAUACCGGGUUUUAUGAAUU
rnacentral:rRNA from 1 species